GACGAACGCUGGCGGCGUGCUUAACACAUGCAAGUCGAACGGAAAGGCCCUGCUUUUGUUUGGUGCUCGAGUGGCGCACGGGUGAGUAUCACGUGAGUAACCUGCCCUUGACUUUGGGAUAACUUCAGGGAACUGCGGCUAAUACCGGAUAGGAGCUCCUGCUGCAUGGGGGGCAUUGGAAAGUUUCGGCGGUUGUGGCUGGAUUAGCGGCUUACCAGCUGGUUGGGGGGGUAGUGGCUGACCACGGCUUUGAAGGGUAGCCGGCCUGAGAGGGUGACCGGCCACAUUGGGACUGAGAUACGGACCAGACUCCUACGGGAGGCAGCAGUGGGGAACAUUGCACAAUGGGCGGAAGCCUGAGGCAGCAACGCCGCGUGCGGGAUGACGGGCUUCGGGUUGUAAACCGCUUUCGCCUGUGACGAAGCGUGAGUGACGGUAAUGGGUAAAGAAGCACCGGCUAACUACGUG
rnacentral:rRNA from 1 species